UUUAGGAUGAGAUACACAUUCAUUGUUUAAAGCUCUGGCUCCCUCUAGUGUCACUCUAGUGGUGUAUGAAUUCACCACGUUAUACAGCUCCAGAGUUGACACACCAGCACAGAGUGAAGCUCCUCCUACAACAAGUCACCAGUGAAGUUCUUCUGAAAGCAGUUCACCGUUAAAUGCUGGAAUAUUUCCAUCAGCCUACAAAUGAAGAAGACAGAAUUUAUGAAAGAACAUGAAUGAUCCAGAACACUGCAGGAUGAAACCUGAAGAUACUGAAGAACAAUUGGACCUGCUGAAAAUGAAAGAGGAGAGUGAAGAACUGAGUGAAGUGGAGGAGAAACAUCAGAUCCAAACUGAGAAAAAAAUCUUUGAGUGCGGUACAAACUUUUUUGGGGCACAUUCCAUUCAGUCAGUCAGGAAACCUGAAAAAACAUGAGAGGAUCCACACUGGAGAGAAGCCCCACACGUGAUCAAUACGUGAAGAGCUUCACAAAGUCUGUAAAAUAUUUGAAUGAUUAGAAUAUAACUGAAUUGUGCAAUAGAUGACAGGGGUUCUCAACUCUAACCCUCGAGGUCCACUUUCCUACAGUGCUUAGCUCCAACCUUGAUCAAACCCACCUGCUAAUAACUUUCUAGAAAUCCUGAAGACAUUAAUUAUCUUGUUCAGGUGUGUUUGAUUAGGGUUGGAGCUAAACUCUGCAGGAAAGUGAGUAGAGUUGAGAGCCCCUGAUCUAUGAGAAUAGUACCAAAGAAAUCGUACCAUUAUAUCCAGCUCAGCAGAGAAGACUGAGAGAAUCAGAGCGUGCUGACUGGAAAGUAUCUACUUAUGGCCACCUAUUUUAGGCCUGAAUGGAAAUGGUCAUAUAGGGUGAAAUGGCCAUAGUCUCAUGGUAACUGCUUAAAAUAAGCGUAUGGAAUGUAUUGAUUACAUUUGGGUGUAUAUACAGUAUGUGCGAGUUCAAGACCCGGCUUUAUAAAACCUCAAGGCUUUGAGAAUUCUUUUUUAAAAGAAGUGACAGAGUCCACAAGAUUAGUAGUUCUUCAUAUGAGCAAUAAUGGGUCAUCUUUAAAACCUAUGAUUUUUAAUGGGAGAUACUGAAGGAUGGAGUUCCUCCCUAAAGAACAAUAUUCAAUAUGUUUAAUGGUUAUAUAUUUGUCUUUAUAGUGUAAAUUGAGCUUUUAUAAUUAUUGUAUUAUAUUCAAUUUAUGUUUAACUUUCUUAUAAUACAUCUUUAUCACUCACCUACUUUAUGUAGCUGAAGAAGUGGUUAUUUUGUUACAAUUUUGUUGAGACAUCUAAUAUUUAUUUUUGAGUUGUUCAGUUGCGGUGCUUAAAACGUAGUUAAUAUAUGACGUAUUUACCAAAUGCAGAAGCAAAAUUGCAACAGGCCACUUAUUAGCUUUGCAAUCUCUUGUGUUGGUCUGAUUACUUCGUAAGUGAAUAAAGAGGGAAAUCUGUCUCAUUUCUUUUCAUGUGUACUUUAUUUCUGUAUUUCCUUCAAGUAAUCACUGUCUAUAAUUGCUUAUUUUAUAAACAACUUUUAUUGUUCAACUCUAGCUUUUUCAAUAACAAUUUCAUAAGUUUUGUUAUUACCUGAAAGCUAAUUAUCAUAAUUGGUGUGGGCUUUCCAUUAUAUUUCACUUUACACGUGACUGAGAUGAAAUGGCUCUGUCUACUUCAUUAACCGCUUUACUCCAAUAUCCAGUAUCAAAUAAAACCUCAAAACUGUUUUAAACACAAUCGUUUGUUGUUGGUUCAUAUCGAAUAAACUAAUGAGAGAGACUUUUAAAUUAAAAAAGUAUAUGAAUAAAUGUUUAACUUUUAUUAACCAGGAUUAAUGCUGCUAUUUUAUUUUAUUUUAUUUUUUAUUGUGGCGUUCCUGCAGAAUCAACUCUGUCAUUCUUGA